UACGGAAGGUGCGAGCGUUGUUCGGAUUGACUGGGCGUAAAGCGCAUGUAGGCGGAUUUUUAAGUCGGUUGUGAAAGCCCAGAGCUUAACUUUGGAAUUGCAACCGAAACUAUUGAUCUUGAAUACCUUAGAGGUUGGCGGAAUUCCAGGUGUAGGAGUGAAAUCCGUAGAUAUCUGGAGGAACACCAGAGGCGAAGGCGGCCAACUGGAAGUGUAUUGACGCUGAGAUGCGAAAGCGUGGGGAGCAAACAGG
rnacentral:rRNA from 1 species